rnacentral:rRNA from 1 species
UACGUAGGGUGCAAGCGUUACUCGGAAUUACUGGGCGUAAAGCGUGCGUAGGUGGUGAGUUAAGUCUGUCGUGAAAGCCCCGGGCUCAACCUGGGAAUGGCGAUGGAUACUGGCUCGCUAGAGUGCGGUAGAGGGUGGUGGAAUUCCCGGUGUAGCAGUGAAAUGCGUAGAGAUCGGGAGGAACAUCAGUUGCGAAGGCGGCCACCUGGACCAGCACUGACACUGAGGCACGAAAGCGUGGGGAGCAAACGGG